rnacentral:rRNA from 1 species
GUCUAUGGCCAUGCCACCCUGAACAAGCCUGAUGUCUGAUCUCGGAAGCUAAGCAGGGUCAGGCCUGGUUAGUACUUGGAUGGGAGACCACCUAGGAAGACCAAGUGCUGUAGUCA